AAAAACGGGAGAAGCAGGAGUAACUGGAGGAUGGGAGAACUAAGCCCGCGGAUCGCGCCCUCACGGCCAUCCUCUGUUUACACAAUGCACGUUAUUCCACACGACCUAUUCAGUUCACCCCGGGGGUUCUAUAUUCUACAAAAAUUACUAACUCAUUCUUUAACUUCGUAAAGCUUAAAGGUAGGCGAUCGGCCGAAAAGAUAUCAACACCGGCAAAGCACAAGCGGGAGAAAAUCACCGACGGUUACAUCGGGCAUGAGCGUAACACCAUACAUGAAGGGCCAGUUCUUGAUCCAACAUACACAGCAGUGAUUACAACCCUAAAACCUUUACUAUAUUGCAUAGCUAAAUUCACAAUCCCGGGAGUACUCCUAAGGGUCACCAUUUUUAACCUACAGUACUACGGCAACGGGAGUCAGAUCGGAAAAGGCUGGGGACCUAGUGCCUCGUGCUCAACACUGCACUACGCCAAAUCCCAUUACGGGAGACCAAGUUCAAAUCAUUCAAUUUCCACAAAAAGGCCUGUUGAUCGACGACGAAGUCACUAACGCCCUACAAUAACCGAGCUAGGUAUGCUGAAUACCCAACCAAGAACAACCGAAGGAGCGACCUGGGAACGACCGCCGCUCAGUGGUUCCAAAUCCCGAAUUCCUGACCAAAAACCGAAAAAUGAAGUUUAUAUUAGAAGAAUUUUACCUGUGGGGUCAGGUAGAGGGGUUUUUCAGGGAACCUUUUGUAGGUACCCGUUAUGUAAGAGCGGGGAUAAGGUGUGAAGAGUCGUCAAUUGUCGGGUAAUACCGAUAAUUGUCGACUCGAAGUAUCCCGAAAAAUCUCUCUCUCCUCCCGAAUUCGUUGGACUGACUAGACGCACCAUACCGCCUGCAUAAACUAAGAUAAGUGGCCACACUAAUUUGUAAACGAUGAGUGAUUAUUCUAAUAAUUUAGGAGAAAGCACCAAAUCUAUAGCGUAGUCACCGAUACUCGUAUCUAUAUAUUGUUCUUUUUAUUGCCAUUGUAGCUGUACCAUUUUAUAUAUGCUCGUGAUCGUUUGUCUUUAUUCAUGCAACUGGAAUUAUUCAUUUGUGAGCGUGUCAACUUUUAAUCAAGCACUGUUCAUCAAGAGGACCCAAGAAAUUCAGACUUUAUUGUAAUGGCACCGCUCUCGUUGCUUCUAUAAUUAAAACAUAAUGCAAGUGCGGUACUUUAUUUAUUGUUUGUUAUCAUUAAAUAUUCAUUCAUCCGUGUCCGUUUUAUUUUUAUGGUGAUCCGUCCGGAACAUUUAUGUACUUAUAUAUGUCCAUGUGAUCUGUUUCUGUGUACUAAUUAAUAUAUUACGGUGAGAUAGAUCGUAGCAAAUAUAAAGGAAAAAAGAUAAUUCUUUACAUCUUCGAGGGUCGGUGGGUCGCAGGUGUUGCAUUUAGCUAUUGGAAUCUCAUUCGUAACGAAGCGCUCGAGCAGUCAUAGUCGGUCGUGCGCUAUGCUAGAAAAAUAUCGUUGUGUUCAAAGUGAUAUAUCUUCAAGUAGAAUUGAGAUAUUUUAAUUCUACAAAAUGGAGUCUGUUCCUGGAUGUAAGUACACUUAUUAUAUCAUUGCGAUUUUUUACAUUAAUCAAACGGCGAGCGACAAAAAUUGUGAACAUCUACCGUAAAUUGUCGCGCUCGAUGCGGAAAUAAGUUAUGUUCACAUUGAGUAAAAGUUAAUAAUUUUAAAUAAUUCUCAUACUGGUUAAGUGCCACGUUAUUGUAUACACUCUUGAGUAAUACCUCAACAAAAAAUUAGGUGCACCAAGUUGCCCCUCUGGUAAUGGUGAAUUUUUUAAUAAAUGGAUGCGGGAAUUCAGGCACGACGCGUGCUGGCGCGGCAUGUAUACUAUACUGACAAUGAGCGAAGUGCACCACAGUAGGGUGCGAAUUCAAGUGAUUUGUUUCUCAUAAAUAUAAUUAUUAUUGUACCGGAUUCGACUAUCAUUUUCAUUAACAAAUCAUCACUGAUUCUUAGAAAUUUUCUAUUAUUGUCUAACUUUUGAAUUUAUUUUCCAGGCUUCCGUGAUAGCAGAAAGGAGUUGUUUAAUUUAUUCGCUAAUCAUUUGAAUGAUAAUGCAAAUGAUGUGUACAAAAUCUUGGAGGUCGAAUUGUCUAAAAAAUGUAAUUUCUUAAUAAAUAAGUAUUUGUAUUCAAAUUCAUAUUUACAUUUCCAUACUUUCCCAAUCUACUUUAUUCUACACAUGUACGUAAAAAUAAAUUAUUUUUAUUCAAAACCCCCCGGUAUUUUGUUUUUUAGGAAUUUGACUUCAGAUUCGUUUUUAGCGACCUCAAAAACCCCCGAGUAAUGAAUCUGACAGUGAUUGGAUAAUACCAUAGAUAUAAUAAUACCUUCCAUUUUUGGCAAGCGAUUUGGGAUUUAGAUCCACUGCGCGCGGGGCCUCAAAGACCUACAACUAACACUACGAUUUCAAAAUGGCGUGGUACCUCCGGGAUCGCUACAAGUAAAGUUUGGACCUUACCUGGGUUUCUCCAGCCCAGUACUCCUACACAACACUUCACAACCGGGUAACAAGACCGCCUUACGGAAGUUACGCAAAAAUACAAUAGACUGGACUAUUUGUCGGGAGAAGAUGCCAAAAACAAACGGUUGACGGGAGAUAUUUAUGUAACUACGGUAACUGUGCAGCACAGAAUAGAACGAGCGGAGCCUCUUAUUCUUCCUCGUCCGGCCUUGCUCAUGCAGAUUGGUGGUGCCUCUUCCGCAAUUAGGUCGCCUAUCAGGUAUCACGGGAUUGUCGUCUUUUCUCUUGAGAGUCCGGACUAAAGGCUAGAACCUCCACAGUAGUCCCCCUCAACCACGAGAAGGCCUGGUAUUAGGGCUGGGCUCACCUGCUUGCCUCACUCCCUGUUGCCUUCUCCUUUAGUAAGGCACAUCGACCUCGAGAGUUGCCUCCAGUGUCAGGAGUUUUUCGGUUCAAGUCCAGCGCCAGGCUGGGGAGUUGUGGGGUGGGAGGUAGUGCUGCUAAAACCGCAUUACCCUGUACGCCGCCACCACAGCAUCCAAUAGGUUGUCGGAAGCCACUUCUUCCCGGUCAUUUAUCGGGAGGAUCUGCACGUCGGCCGUGCAGCCUUAUAUGCCGACAAAGCUGGCGACUGGAGUAGAUCAGGUGUUCUUGCCGAAGCGAAUCCCUGAGCGGUUUCCCAGCCACAACCAGGGAUCUUCGGAAGUUUCUUGUUUGGGUAGAGCGAGCACACCAGGAGUUUCUCCUUCGAGUGGUCCUUCGGGGUGAAUCGGUCAUCCUGCCAGGCCGAGAUCCCUCGCUCCGCCGUCCCUCGUUCUACCGUACGAAAUGGACGAACAGCUGGAUGAAUAAAAAAGGGCCCCCCCCCCCCGAGUGUCCAUAAGUUUUCCUGUGGAUAACAUUCAAAAAGUAGUGAAAUCCCGAUGAAGCUUCUCAGAUGCAAAGAACUUCACUAAAAAGCCCGCCAAAUCCGAUGUGCGCGAUUUGAUUUUGUGUGCCACAUUUCUGUGCAUCAUUGAUCCGUGUGCCACAUUAUCUUGUGCCUAUAGUGCUGUGUUCCAUCGAACCUUGGGCCAGUGAGACCACCUCGGCGAUAUUUUUUAGGUUUGUUUCUCGUAUCACGCAAUUGAAUGCAAUUGUAGAGAAGACUUUGAAGUGAUCAAGGUGAUAGACCAGUCAAUAAAGUAAAAAAAGAUGCGAUUUUUCUACUUGAAUUAUUCAGACAACGACUUGUACUAUCUUUUGAAGUAAAGUGCGUAGAUGAGAACCUAUAUGUUGGGUAACGAGAAAUCGCACUAGAAAAUGAACCGUUUUUCUAUUUUAUACCCGAGAGUAAAUGUCCCACUUCUCUCCCAUGCGUAAGAUGGUUUUUGUCCGAUACAUACGUUUUGCACAAUUGCGUUGUAAAUAAUAAGAGGGCUCAUCUUGUUGGAUGCAUAACUAUAGGGAAAAUGACAUUGAAAUUCUGCAAACGGCUCCGAAAAGUAGAGAUUAGGAUCGUCAAUCCGUCUAUCUCAGAUUUCGUGAAGGUGCGAAAUGUCUCAAAAAUGGCCCCAAAAGUGGCUCCAAACACUUGAAAGCGCGCUCGAGACGGAAUUGAGUAGUGGUGGUGGAGGGACGAGCCAGCGGAAGAGAGUACACAACUACACUGACAAUAAAAUCCUAAGUAUGUACUAUGCAAAGCAGCGCGUGGCCAUAUAAUCCGAUCUUCUCCCCCCAUGAAUCCGCUGUGGACAUAAACAAAUUGAAUGAAAAAAAAAUCAAAAAAUGUAAUUGUUGUUGAGGAAGCUGGAUAAGCGAUAUUAUUGAAGUAUUGAGAGUGCAUUUAGAGAAUAACGGAAUCAAUUCAUUAUCUCGUACUUUAGCAAUUAGACGGGUGAGUAUACACACAUACAUACCCAAUUUUGUACUGACUCCGUAAGCCUCAGAAUCAAAUGAUAGAGAGAUGAUCAGAUGUCCUACACAAUUGUAGGUGAAGUGUGUAAACAUACACUCGAUAUGUGUGUGCGUUAGUGCAUGCGCAUUGUGAUGGAGCUGAAUUAACGAUGGCUUGUACAUUAUAAUUGUAUUUUAAAUUUUUCUAAAUGAUUAGCAACAUCGAUUCCUCGAUUCUUCAUGACCAAAAAUAGGGUGAACUCCAAUUCCAAACAAUAACCAAAUAACCUGCGCUGACUAAUAAUUCGCCUCAGAGAUCAACACAGAUUUAAACAUCUCGACCCAUGACUUGUUGGAGCCGAUCAAUGUAAAAAUAAACCCACAGAAAUAAGGAGUAAUAAAAUAUAAACCCGGCAUAUGUAUACUGGGUCUUUGAAGAAACAGUUAGAAUUUAAAACUUGAAAAUCUCUCUUAUGGGUAGAGGGUAGGCUUCGGCUACCCCCCCUAAAAACUCCAGGUAGUAGGGGGACUAAAAGCCCAAAGGACCGCCGGGUCUGGCAGUUUACCUACAGACGCCAGUGAGAGCAACUCGCUUCCGGUCCCUAAAAGGGUCAGUAUACACAGCGCGUUAAUAUUUUCGGAGGUGAACCCAAAGUUAGCCGUGAAAUGAGGAAAAACCACGUCCUCAGCAGGUACAUCAAGUGAUUUAUGAUGGAGGCCGUGGUGUCGAUGCUCGUGCUCAGUACAGGCGGUGUGUCGAGUUCUCUUUUUAAAAUUGUCGUAAGUCCUUGUUCAAUUCACGAAAUAUUAUCUGAUUAAUUACAGCUGAUCGUCACUGAUGAUGGUUUUUAGAUUUUUUUCUUUUAUCAGCUGCUGUUUAAUGAAUGGCACUGGAUUCACUGCCUCGUGUUGUAUAUUUCAGUAAAACUAGCAAACGAACGCACUUACGUCCUGACUUAUCAAUUGUCUUCCCCAGAGUCCCUUACACCUUCCGCCGCGGGGACAUCCUCAUACUCAAAUUUUGAACGUCGUUACCACCUCCCGACUCCUUGUCGUUAGGCGCGUAUAUUCGAACCUCACAACCUUCCUUCUACAGGUUAAUGAUCUUGCCGAUAAUGAGAGACCCCGACUUGAUACACCUGACCCCUGCUACCCUCCCGACAGUCAAUGACCUUGGGCCCCGGCAGGGGCAAAGGCCGAGACAAGCAUACCUGACCAGGUACCCUCCCGAAGGUCAAUGACCCGGUGAAGGGAGAGAGGGGGGUAUGUUUUGGCGCCAGUGACCCAAGGGAGGGGGGAGGGGAAAGGGGGGUAUGUUUUGACGCGGAAAAGCUGUACUAUUCUACUAAUACGCUUUAUCAAGAGCUUCAAGAGGAGUUUUGAGACCGGAGUUUAUAUCCCUUUUGACCGAUUAUAUAGAUGACCUGCUUUUCACAUCAAAGUCAAUCGAAGACCAUUUCAAGCAUUAGAUAUAGUAUUUGGGACCCCACAAAGCCACAAUUUUACAAUGAAACUGAAGAAGUCGCUGUUUUUUCGGGAAUUCGUUUUAUUUCUAGGAUUUGCGCUGUGUACAAAAGGUAUCCGUGCCCACCCGAAAAGAGUCCAAACGAUUUGGGAAUUUAAACAGCCAACGAACAAAAAACAGUUACAGCGGUUCAUUGGUGUCUGUAAUUAUUAUCGCCAGUUUAAUUACAGAUACUCAAAUGCUAUUGAUGCAUUCAGAGACCUAUUAUCUAGCGAAGGAAAAUGGUAUUAAACAGAAAAAUACACAAUCGCAUUUAAAAACCUGAAAGAAAACUUUUUAGAGACAACAACAUUAUACCAUGUGAUUUCGAACAAACUAUUCACAAUACAGACGGACGCUAGUGACAAAGGGAUCAAUUAUAUCAAGAGGAUGAUCAAUGAAAUAAAAAUUUGAUUUUAGUCGUGAGCCGUUGUUUAUUGUGGUGUGAGAGGAAUUACACAACAAUGGAAAGAGAACUCGUGGUAAUUGUUUAUGCGCUUGAACAAUUUCGAAUCUAUGUCUACGGAAAAACAUUCGGAUUAUUAACCGAUCAUUACAGUAUGACUUUCCCCUCUAAAACGCCAUUUCGUAACGGCAGAAUCGUACAGUGGGGCUAACUCAUACAGCAGUACGAAUUUGACAUUCAGUUUUCCAAAGGAAACACAGAACGUUGUUGCUGACUUCUUCAGUCGCAAUCCAAACUUAGUGAUGAACGAGUAAACGAAAAUACAUAAUUGCAAAAUUAAACAAAACCACAGAUCAAUUCACAAAAAAAAAAUCCGUUGGAGAUUAAUACCUUAGACAGCGAGAUACGUGAACAAUUCGAAAACUUAGAAGAAUUACAACAGCAAGACCCCGAUAUCCAUGAAAUAAUUGAGACAACACAAGGUAGAGACGAGGCGAGGUAUAAGAUAUUUGAGAAGAUACUGUUUCACAAGGAAUUGCGUGGCGAUGAGAAUUGGCGUAUUGUUAUAACAAAAACAAUGAUACAAAAAAUAACAAAUAGGGUACAUUGUAAAUUAGAGCAUGUAGGGUAUUACUAAACAAUGAAAUAUUUAGGUCACUAUUAUUAUUGGAAACACAUGAACACUCAGAUUACUCAGAUUAAACAAAAUGUUCUGGCGUGUGAUCUAUGCCAAAGGAUAAUAAACAUAACAUACGCAAUGGAAGGUGAGUAUUGAGGGGGAGAAUCGUUGAAACCGGACGAUUUAAUCAUGGUCGAUUACUUUGGUCCUUUGUCUAGAUCCACGUUUGAAACUUUUUGAACAUUUUCUAUCCUACCAAAUACAUUUUUCUGAAUUUUUUCAGAUUUUCUUACCCAACCCAAAAAAAGUUACGAAUUUUGGAGAAAAAACCGCUCCUUUUUUCUUAAAUUGCGAUAACUUUUCCACAAAUUGAACUUUCGGCUCUUUUUGAUUAUUAAAUUUCUGUUUUUGAAUGUAGGUGUAACGUGCGACUUUGGGCGCGUCAACAAUUAUAAAGGGUUCGCCCCUUGCUGGAAGUUUUGAUAUGAUAAAGGUUCGACGAUUGGUGUUCUCGUGAUUACUUAUUUAUUAAUACGUAAGAAGCCCUAUUUGAUGAAGAGGAUUGAUGUUGCUCAGCCGGAUGGUAGUGGAGAGACUUUGGAGAUAUUUUUGCUCAGCCGGAUGUUAGUGGAGAGUCUAAGUUUUGAAGGAAUAGCGAGAAGAAGGAAGGCUCGAAAUUAGGUGGGGUUUUUAGCUGAGUUUGCAUGCCGUUGCAGCUAGCAACAGUCUGCAGAGUGAUGCGGUGGAGAAAUAGGAGAAGAGGAUGUAGAGGGUCGGGUUGAUCGUGGUAUAGUUUGAUUGUAAGAGAAGGAGAAAGUGAAGAAGAAGAAGAGGAGGAGGCGUUAGACGUAACAUAGGUUUCAGAAAAAAAUACAAAAAUUUUUUCGGAAGUCACCAUAUAUGAAAAUUUCAGUUUUUUCAAUAAAACCAUCAUUUUUUCGAACUUUGACCCCUUCGAUUCUCAAGUUUUUUGUCUCAAGAAAGAAUUCAAUUGAGACAGUAUUUAACCCCGCUAUUCUCAUUUUGUGCCGACUUUCCAUUCUAUUUGUUUUUUUUUAUUAAAAAAAAAAAAUGUGAUAUGGCUUAUUUUUUUUUGACUUUGCGCUGUAGUUUUUUUCACCGUGGGAGAGCCCGAACGGAUUUUAUCGGAUAAUGGAACGCAAUUUGCAUCCGCCAAAUGGAAAGUGACAUUAGAAAAUCUAGGGCUGAAUGUAAUUUAUGCAUCCGUACGAUCCUCAAUGGAAUCCUACGGAACGGACAAUGCUAGAAUCGGGGCGUUUUUUUCGUGCACUGGUUCGGAUAAGCAGAUCAAAUGGGCAAACUUUAUAAAAUAUGAUAAGCAGAUUUUAAAUGCAACUAUCCACAGAUCAACGGAGUUCAGCCUUUAUGAACCACAAUUUGGUCAUAGUCAUGAAGAUAAAAUUGUAAAACUAAUUAGAUUUCCCGAGAACGAAGUUGAAUCAUGAUUAUAAGAUUGAAAGAGCACGAAAAACGCUAUCUAAGACUUUUUCACAAAAACAGAAACGACAAAAAGGCGUGUCAAAGAUUAUUUCAAAUGUAGUAUUAGCUCGUAUACCUCACCAAUCAAAUGCGAUGAAAAAGGUCAUAAAGAAAUUGUUCGACAUUUAUUACGCCCGUUCGUAAUCGAUGAAGUAUACUGCAACAAUUCAUAUCGGCUUGGUGGCAAUGGUAAUAAAAAGAAACAAACAGAAAUUUAUAACCGAUACCAUCCAAGAAAGUACAAGCAGCCUACUAAUCAAUAAUUGAAUUUUAUAAGCAUGUGACCAAUGACGACUUUUACAGAAUCAACAUUUCUAAUUACGUAGACAAUUCUGGAAACAAUAGACGAUGGAUAACAGAUAAUAUUGGAUGAAAGACUGUUUAUACAUAUGCACGUGUAUGUGAUUAGAAUUAAGAAAAUAAAAUUUAGUAACGACGACACAUUUGCGAUUAUAAAAUGAGAGCAAUUAGUAAUUAGAGGAUGGACAAUUUAAAAAGGAUACAAUAUAUGAUAAUAAACUGAUUAUCUGAAAAGAGUUCAAUGGAAACCCUCACAGACGUUGUGAGGUUCGAAUAUACGCGCCUAACGACAGGGAGUCGGGAGGUAGUAACGAUGUUCAAAAUUUGAGUAUGAGGAUGUCCCCGCGGCGGAAGGUGUAAGGGACUCUGGGGAAAACAAUUGAUAAGUCAGGACGUAAGUGCGUUCGUUUGCUAGUUUUACUGAAAUAUACAACACGAGGCAGUGAAUCCAGUGCCAUUCAUUAAACAGCAGCUGAAAUAAAAGAAAAAAAUCUAAAAACCAUCAUCAGUGACGAUCAGCUGUAAUUAAUCAGAUAAUAUUUCGUGAAUUGAACAAGGACUUACGACAAUUUUAAAAAGAGAACUCGACACACCGCCUGUACUGAGCACGAGCAUCGACACCACGGCCUCCAUCAUAAAUCACUUGAUGUACCUGCAAAUAAAGAACCGACAAAUCAAAUAAAUGGAAAUUCCAAAAUAUCUCGAUCGUACCUGCUGAGGACGUGGUUUUUCCUCAUUUCACGGCUAACUUUGGGCUCACCUGCAAAGAAGAAAUCAGUAUAAAGAUAAGUGGAAUUUCACCAAGGAAACGAUUAGGGAAAAUUGUUCCUACCAUUCAAGUCCAGUGAAUCUCCCCAGAGGACAAUUUUACUAUAACUAUUUUAUUUAUACAAUUAUACACCGACUCUUAAUUCAUUCAUAUAUAUAUAUAUACAGUGCGUAAUAUUUACUUGCAACGAUUUUACGUUAUUUAUGUACAUAUGUGAGAGGGAUGUGUGAAUGUUUUGUAUUCUCGUUUAUUUAUAUUGAAUCGUUGUUGCCGUAAUAAGGAAAUGUUAUAAAAAUCAUUACAUAAUGAAAAGAUUCAGAGAAGCAAAAUUAUAACGGGGCAGUAAAAAGUUAUAGAAAACAAGUCAUGUAUUAUGGCGUGUUUUUUCUUUUGUUGAAUAAUUAGCUUGUCUAGGUGAUGUUCUCAAGAUUUAUGUUAUUCUAUUUGCCAACAUGGACAAGUAUGAAUAUCACGUCGUUCAGCAGUCAACUGACCAUCAGAUUACCCGUUCAGGAUUAGCAAUCCUCGACAUACACUUAUAAUACACUUACAUUGGAGAUUAGCUUUACAUUUAUCCUUCAGCAUUUACGUUAGAUAAUCAGUGAAGAUGCAUCCAAACCAGAUGGUCUAGACAACAAGUGCCUGUUUAGUUAACCUUUUUCAGCAGUCUCGGAAGAAUAUGAACGAGUGUCUUUCGAUUCGGAACAGCAUUAUGAUGAUUCUCGAAAGCAAUCAAGUAAUAAACAAUUGAGGAUAAAGUAAGGGGCAUUUUUUUAAAUAUCGCAAAAACUAAUCGAUAGUUUUAGAAUUUCAGAAAGGGUUCGAAAAGAGACGGGAAUUUCCCAAGACAAGUCCGAUUGGACGGAAUCGUGACAAUUAUUUUCAAUUCCUCACAGGGGUGGAAAUACGGCCGAGAACGGGUAUUCUGGUUUCUGCACGUCGUGCUCACACUGAACACUUCAACAAUAUAAAAUUUUCGAAGUUACUAAAUAUGAAUAUUAGGGAAUACAAGAAUUCAGGCUGUAAGAGUUAUGGUUUUGUUGCGUUCGUUCCCUGGUCAAUAUACGUAUAUGAACUUAAAACUAAAAUAUUCUUCUUGUAACGAUAUAUAGGUAUAUAUAAAGAGAGAAAAAGAGAGAAAAAGAGAAGAGAGAGAGAAAAUAAACAAACGAAUUAAGACAUAAAAACGGAUUACCAGCUCAUCGACACAUGAGCCAAACAUGGCCAACAUGGACAUCGUGAGAGCGGGACGCACUUGAACCAUUUGAUGUACUGGGACCGAGGAAUUGAAAUCUUGGGGCAAUAGAGUCGACCGAUACCCGCAAAAAUAUUCAGGACAAGUCAAUUACUGGAACUCAGGACAAACCGGUACAUCAAAAAUUACCGAUAAGAGACAAAAGAUAAGUCGCGCACAUUCCUUCUCUUUCUCAUUUCACGAACAUCGACGUUUGUUAUAAUUCUAUAUAUUAUUUAUUCGUCUGUAUAUCAAUUUCUAUAAUUUAUUCUCAUCACGUCCGAUUUAUUUUCAAUGUCUGUGUCAUAGAAAAUUGAUUUUAUUCAUACACUUUAUUUAUUUAUACAUCUGUAAUGUUUGUUAUAUUUUCUUUUUGACUUGGACUAAAAUUUUCUUUGUCUAUAUAUAUAUAUUUUAAAGAAUCUGAUUCGAACUGAGAGAUAUAUUUUGUGACGAAGAUACGAUGGUAAAAUAACUGCCACUUUUAAAUUUCAUGGACAUGCUAAAUUUUUGACGAUAAAUUUAUUUUAAAUUAUACCUAAUUCGAUUCUGCGUGAAUGUUCUGUGUUUGUCCGAUUUCAUGUGUUAGAAAUUAAGCGAAUCUAUUUAUUACAUCUUUCCUACUUUCUUUUUCCUUCAUUAAGUUAUUUAUUCUCUCUUUUACAAAUGAAAGAUGAACAAGAUUGCUAACAAGGAAAUAUCAAUAGAAAAAAAAGCAAUAUAAUAACUUGCGAAACAUAACAUUUAGGAAAUAAAAAUAAAAAAUCAUUUCAUACUUAAUUACUAAGAGAAAGAGGUCUAUUUUGUGGGUGUUUGAUUAGGUGCACGUAUAUUCGGAUUAGGUCUGUUCUGUUAAAUGAUGGUGUAGAUGAGCGUCCUUUCGGUGAGAAGAUAUAAAGGUGUCGGCGGCAGGAGUAGUAGUCGUUAUAUCGUUGUUCAGGUAUUUCAGUUUAAUUCAAAUUGCGUAACGAUACGGCGUCCGUGAUGAAUUUCGUUUUUUAAACGGCAAGCACUCGUGAGGUGUGCUUGUUCUUGUCUCGUCUCACAAUCGGUGGGUCUGUGUCGUUUGCUUGCACAUCGAUCUAGCCUAAUGCAAUUGCUGCACUGUCUUGUCUACGUAUAUUACUAUGUAUGAUGCUGACCACGUACACUUGAUUUAGCCCCAUAUGACACCACUGCCUCCCUAGUCACCACUUUGCUAGCAAGGUUAGGUGCCGACUGACUCCUUCCAUUCUUCUUAAUUGCUUCUAACCUCAUCGUUCUUCUCUUUCUUCCCGAUUUUCUUUCUCUUUUUUACUAAUCUUAUUACAUAGUAUACAGAAUCCUACAAGGCACUGACCGAAUAGAUAAGCAAACAAUAAUCCACUGGCCAAAAAUUCAAAUCGCGAUUUUUCAAUUAGUUUUCUAUUAUAUGAUUAACAAUUUUUCAACGCCUGGACAUGAACAUUGCAAGUGCAAUAAUUGUUGAACAAUACACCUGCGAUUUUUUUCUUCAAUCGGGGUUAUUUUUGAGGAGCUUCAGAAUAAAUCCCCGUUAAAAUGUGUAGAGAUUUCAAUUUUCAAUUUUUCUAUGAACAAUUUACGUAAAUAGAAAAUUUGAGACCCAAAUUGACCAUCUGUAAAAAAAAAAAUUUUCCGGAUAUUUUGAUUAAUCCGUUUUCUACUAUCAAAAACAACAUGCAAAUAAUUUUGAAAAAUUUUUAUAAGCAAAUGCUUUGUAAAUGAGAUGAUUGGAAUUUUUUUUUAGAACUGAAUGUUUGAUGCAAAUGGUUUUCUGAAAAAAUCGUUCCUUGGAAAAAAAAUUUUAUUGCUUGACAACAUAUCUGUCAAUGACCAUUUUUUUUACUACUCGAUAAUAGGGAACCGUUUCCCACUGAAAUCAUGAUUUACCUUGGUCUUCAAUAUUCGAGGAAAAUUUUUUGGUUCAUUCAAUCUUUCAUUGUUUAUUUGACGAACAAUUUGAUUCCACCGGGACAAACGUAUAUAAUUUUAUCAUUCAAAUAAACUUGACAUAUGCUACUGUGCGUUGUUUUUUAAAGAAGAAAAGUUCCUUAAUAUUGAUUCUAAGUGGUAAAAAAAAAUGAAUACUGAUCAACAAAUCCGUUUUGAAGCAAGAAAAAGUUUUUCUAAGGAACGAUUUUUUUUUUUUAAUCAUCAUUUACAUCACUGAUUUGGUUUCCACCAAAAAUUUUGUCAUCUUAUCAACAAUACAUUUGUUCAUAACAAUUUUUCAAACAAUUGGACAUGAAAAUUCAAGAUCAUCAUUUUCAUGAAGUUUUCGAUCAUAAAAAAACGAAUAAAUUAAAAUAUUUAGACAAAAAUAUUUUCUUGAUAUGGUAAAAUUCAUUCAUUCGAUUCAUUAAUUUCAGUUAUCAAUUUUUUUAUUACGUUAAUUGUUAAUGAAAAUUGAUUCAGUUUUCAAGAUAUUUGCAAAGAGCGAAGCCCCUUACUUUACACUUAAUUGUUUAUAACUUUUAAAAUUCUUGCGAGCGGAACUCGAUUUUUUAUGAAAAUCAUCUACGUGCCGUUCCGAAUCGAAUGACACCUUGUUCAUAUUUUUCCGAGACUGCUUGAGAAGUUGACCAGAAAGGCACUUGUUGACAAGACUAAUUCCAAGAAACUACCGAUAGUGGAAGAAUUUCGAAGACCAAAGAACGCUCAAGGUAUUAAACCUGGUGUACACACGCAUUUUAAAAUUGAGUAAAUUUAAGAAAUCUGUGAAUGGAUUGAUCACAAAGUGCGCGUAUGGACCAGACAUUAAAGAAUUCCUUGGCUGGGACGGCUACUGCAAAAGAUUUAUUUCUGAUUAUUCGAAAAAAGAUAAAUCACUCUUGAAUUUAUCAAAGAAUGAAGUACUGUUUCAAUGGAAAAAAUGAUAAGACGAAGCCUCUGUAAAUAUUCACAAGUGGAGUUCACGCUAUUUUUGGCCAUGAAAAAUCGAAAAUUGAACAUUUUCCAAGUUUAUUUUUUUUUCAAAUAAUUCUUUCACGGCGGAUUGAUGUAAAGAAAGCGUCAACAAAGACUUAAUAUUCCAAUCAUUUUUUGUAAUUUUAAAGUAUGAAAAAAUAAUCAUCUUCAAGUUCGGUAAUUAUGCCAAAUCUAAUGAAAAUUUUCUCUAAAAAAUAUAUCCGGCAUAUAGGGUCAUUUCUGAGUGCCUUAUUAGUAAUGGAAGAGUGAAAUUAACAAUUAGGUGGUGGUCAGGUAGCAAAGACCUAUAGGUGUCAUAAGUAUAGCUCGGCGCACUUACGUGCGAGACCACCUAUUUAACCCUUGGUCGCUCCCAGGUCAAGUCAAAUGUUCAAUUUUCAAAAUUCAAGUAUUUGUGUAAUCAAUUUGCCAUGAAGAUGGACAAUUUGGAGAAAAAAUCUAGGAAUGUUACUCUUUCGAUUUUUUAUGCCUAAAAAUAGCGUGGACCGCAUUCGAAAAUUGGGAAAUUUUUAAUUUCUGAGUUUUUUUUUUUAAAUUGAUUCAUUUUUCAUGUACUUAGAGAUAAAAAAUACCUACACUCUUUUGAAUAAAAAUUUUGACCAGAAAUAUGUUUUUUGGGAUUCAAAAAUUGAAAUAACUCGUUCAAAUAUCCAAUUCUUCAGAUUGUAGUAUUUUUUCCAUUGAUCUGCCAUUAAGAUAAACAAUUUAAAAAAAAUCCCAAAUAUCUGAAUUUUUAUCGAUUUUCAAUAGGCAAAAAUAGCGUGGACCCCACUGCUAAAUAACUACUGAGACAUUAAUAGAAUUAUGCGACAAAUUAUUCAAUGAACUGAUAUUACAGUACAGUAAAUUCAAUAAAUGAUUUCUGCGCCUUUGUUUAAAAAAUAAAGAUGAAGGUCUUGAGAAACUGAACGGGCCGAAUGUUGAUAAAGAAAGAAAUAAUAAUUAUAUUUCGAGAGCCACUUGACAUCUGGAUAUACGACUAUAAAAUAAACGGUACUGACAUAUCAACCAGUAUACCCGUAACAAACCAAGCUAGAAACCUUAGCGGUCACGUUCCACCGAGUAAAAGCGAUAAUUCAGACGCCUUGUCAACAACGACACUCAGCUAAGCUGAUUUAGAGCCUUAUGUAACUCCACACCCUACGCUGCAUAAUCAAGAUCGAAUUUGUGAACCGGAUCACUGUACUGAUUCAAAUGAAAACAAAGCUUCUGAAAAUUUCGACGACUCGACCAACGACGACGGUGACUACCCAAGCUUUCUUGAGCAUCAUGAAUCAGACGACGAUAGCUAUAAUGACUCAAAACCUCAUAACAUGGACCAAGAUACCCCAACUAGGGUAUUUUAGAAAAAACUUUUGUUCAAAUUCGAAGUCAAAGUUCCAUUUAUAUGAAACGAACCUCUAAACCAGCGAAUCUAAUGAAAAAUCAUGAGAAACUUUUUUUGUAGAACGUUCAAUUCUCUACAAAAAUAUGUCUUCGUCAACUCUGUAUAUUGACUUGUUAGCGAGUUAUAAAAUUCAGAAGCGUAAGAAAUAUCAUUUUUCCUGAGUUAAUGUUAUGAAAAAUAAAAAAGUGUGAUGAGAGAUACGUAAAUAUUAAUAUUAAGAGCUGAAAUUUCAACUGGCAUCUUUUUGAGUCCAAACAAAACUUUUGAGCCUGUUUCCAAAAAAAAAAAAAAACAAAAGUUCUUCCUGAAACACCGUAAGGACCACCUAUAUUUUGAGAUCAAUGAAAAUUCACAAAAAUCUACCCCUGACGAUACCAGAGACAGCGACCAUAAAAGGAACGCAUGCAAACAACAGCGACCAUAAAAGGGACGUAUCCAUAACUGACUUAGAAGCCGGAAUUACUUCUAGUCAAGCCCAAGCGACCCUUUACAAAAACCAUAUGUUGAUUUCGAACCAGAACAAGGAACAAUUCAAUUCUCUGAAACUCGAGAAAACCUUCCACUCUGAAAAGGCAAUAAAGUAUUCUUCACGUGGAUGUCCUUGAACUCGCAAAUAUCCUUCGGUCAGCUCUUAAACGACCCUCUUUUACAGAUGUAAUAUUCGGAAGACCCGUAGUUCAAGAAAAUGAAAAAACUCGCUACAUAAGUAACUAGUAAAAAAACGAUACGUAUAAACUUACUUUUGGAUAAAGACACACACAGUAAAGCUGCACAAUCGCUACACAAAGUAGUACCAGAAUCACAAUUAGAUGCCCCAACGAUUCUAAAAACUCGAAAUACAGGCAAUUGCACACACGGAUAUUGAUCGCCAGACUUCGUUAUAAUUUUCAACGUGACCGCGGAAGAUGGCGUCGGACUCCAACAGCGACGACUGCUGUCGGCGUUUGAAUUUAACUGUCAGACCUCUCAACUUGAAAGUUUAUAACUACGAAAACAAGAAUCUCAUUUCCGAAUAUGAGUCUGGCCAAUAUGAACUAUUUUGGUGAAUUCCAGUUUUUCCAAUUCAAAAUUCGAAAUAGAUAGAGAAACUUCCAAAAAAUUUGAAGUGGCGGACAGCCGAAUUGCAAAAGUUAUUGACGAUUCAGUGCAAAAAAAAAGGGUUGGUUAUUUGCUAAUAUCUCAAAAACUAUUACAAAUAUAUAAAAUCUGAAAAAGGAUCCCUAAAGAACAAGAAGUUUCCUUGAGAAAAGUACUACCUCCCGGAACUUUACCGCAAUUAUUUAUACUUGUGAUUAUGAGAUGGAAUUAGUGCUAAAAACGGGUGAAGUGAGUUCGGCACGCGCCUUACGCAGCGUAAGAAUUGUCGCCUUCGUAUUGUCUAUCGGGGCAAUUGCCUUCCGAUCUUUACGCCUGUCCAAGUGAAAUAUUUUCGCUUGUCCGCAGUGACACAUUUUUGACUGGUCCAUACUGGUACAGCAUUCAGGGUAUUAGCGUCAGCUACAGCUGACUGCCUAAUUUCAUGACCGUUACCUGAAGGAACGCUUGAGGAAAUAUAUCUUGGGAAGUCGGCCGGUGAGAAGCCGUAGCGCAGAAAGAUCCGUGGAACUAGGGAUCCUCCGAUUAGACCGCCGAUUUCGACCUAACAACCGAUAUUGUAAUUAUCGUUUUUUGUAUUGUAAUAACCUGACUGAUUGAGGUUUCAUAUAAUACCGAACGUUUUACAUUGUUAGUUGUAUAAUAAGGAUCACAGCCCAGUGAAGGAACUUAUUGUAUUGUAAAAUCCAGCCCCUCAACCGUUCAGUACCACAUCUACGCUAGCUGAGUUGCCGCCUGUCCCAAUUUUUUUUCAACUUCGUAUUUUUAUGUGAAUUCCGCUUUGUCAAGUAUUUCGUGAUGCACCAGCGUCCAGGCCCAAACCGAGUGUUCGAUCAGUUUCGUAGCUCCUUGAGCCGUGAAGCGGGAUGACACGAGUACUGGCGGUGCUGGUUCCCGCCAACGGCGUAUAACAACAAUGGUAAUUUCAACACUUGUAGCAGAUUUACAAUCAGUGAAAAAUGCUCGAUCUCGAAUGACCUGGUAGAAACUCAAAAAGAGAAGUUCCCGUUGAUGAAAAAGUCAUAAAUGCGGCGAAACUCCGCAAAGUAUUGUGGAAUAUAAAAAAUGAAUUGUACCACGACAAUCUCCACAAGAAGGAAAUUUGGGCUGAGGAUGCCUACGCAUUACAAAUGGAUGGUCCAGUCUGAUUAUUGAGUCAAGGUUUAUCAUCAACUGACUGUGAGUUUUGAAUAUCUGAAUAUUGGAAAAUGGCGCGGAAUUUGAAUGUUUUAAUGUCCUUCUUCAAAACUAUGGAGACUACAAACAGUAGUAGUGAUGACGAAAUUUUGCACAUAUUCAAUUCUCGUGUGGGAAUAGAUAGACCACAAGCCGAAUCUUAUACAGAUGUUGUCAGCGUAUACGAUGAUGAAGAGGUACAGUAAAAACAAGGCUGUGCCGAGAGAUGUAGCUGGGCGAUUUGGUAUCGAAGAAUCCACAAAACAUGCCAGCAAUGAAGAAGUAAUGGACUCGUCAAACUGAAAAAUACAAAGAAUAAGACGGAGAGAAAUUCCACAAUUGAAGGUGAACUUUUGGAAAAAAUUUGCACUUAUCAAGAUUUGCGUUUUCAUAAAAUAACAUCCAAUCGCUUUUUCUAAUGUUGUCGAGAAAGAAUAUGCUUAGACCAGGUAAUUGGAAAAAAUAAACUGUCAACAAUUCGAAAAAAAAUUGCAAUAUUUCUUAAUCUACCCGAUGUGAAACAAUAUACAGGCCACUCAUUCCGACGUACCCCAGCCGCCCUUUGCGCUAACAAAGGUACGAAGCUUGAAACAAUAAACUAAAAUAUGAUAAAAUAUAUGAUCUAUAAGAUUGGAAUGUAUGUCAUCAAAAAGUAUCUUUAUCUACGACAUCCUCUGAAUUAUUAUUUUUUCGGGUGCUAAUAUAACAGCAAUGAAAAUACUCAGAGACUGGAAGUCGACUGGAGUCAUCGAGAAGAAUCUUCAUCUACGUAAUCCACUGAAUUAUUAAUUUUUUGGGUGCAGAUAUAACAGUAAUGAAAAGACUCGUAGAAUGGAAGUCGACUACAGUGGCCGAAGUAUAAAUCGAAGACCAUUGGAUAUAAAAGAGAGAUGGAAAAAUAAAUUUUAAAUGCUAUCACAAUGGCGUCAACGUCAUUCGAAUCUUCAUCAUACCAACAACCUUUUAAUUGUCAGAAAUUGGAGCAAGAUAAUCACAAAAAUAAACACAGCAGCGUCAACAUCCAACGUCAUUGAAAAAGCAACUAUGUUCGACUCAUCAAUGAAUGUACACAAAACUCCGAUAACCAUAAAUAUGACUAAAUGUUUUACUGCAACAAUUAUUUUCAAAACUUAAACCUUCUUGGAAGAAAAAAAAAAAGAUUUUUCUGAAAUAAAUUCAUAUUUGGAAGAUACUCCAAAGACCUUCAAAA